rnacentral:lncRNA from 1 species
AAUCUCAUUGAUUGAAAGAACGGAACAACUUCUUCCAUCAGCUUCACCCCCUCCCACUCUUUCUUCAAACUCUCUACAGCAUCACCUCUUUCUUUCCUCCAUACGUAUGGAAGCCCAGUUUUCACGCCAUAUCCCAUGUGAUCACACACAACCUUAACACACAUUCCGGUCCAUAUAUCCUCCACAGUUUCCCACCUGAACUUUCCUUCUUUUGCCAGCCUGAAAGAUGGCAGCAAAGCAGGUCCCACCAACUCACGAUCAAAUGCUACGUUGAUUCCGCUCAGA